AAUAAAUUACAAAAUAAAAUAUUAAAGCUUAAAAAAACUUCUCGUCGACGGUUUAAUUGGCGGAAUACGACUUGUUUGAUAUUAUAUUCUGCAACGCAAUACAUAAUAUUAUUAUUCAUAUACAGUUGACGGAUGUUGGUCGAGGGUAACCUUGUGUGGUUCGGGUUUUUAUUUUUUAUUUUGACAUAUUUACCAACACAGGUCUUGACUCUUGGAAAAUAUUCACCGCCACAGUUCAAUGUCGUUGAAGUCCAACGAAUAUAAAACUAAUUGGCGUGAAAAAAAAUAAAGACGCAGCCGGAGACGUAAUUGGAUAACUAUCGUGAUUUUCGUAUAUUAAAAUUGACUCUUGGGUAUUAUAGUUGGUACACGUUCGAAAAUUUAAGUAAAAUAUAUAUCUAUCAUUUAAUUUUGGAACAACAAUAGUAGAAUUAAUAUUUUCCUGUCCGUUUUUAUUGAAAUUAAUAAGACUAGAAUAUAUCGUUUAAGUGUAUUAAUAAAAUAAAUUAAGUUUUACUGGCUUACUAGCUUACUAUACAGACUCGUUGAAUAAUAAAUUAUAUUGUUCGCACCUCUGCGGACGCAAUGCAGCACACACCAUCCCAUUAAAAUUUCGCCAUUUCUAUAAGUAAAAAGGAAAAAACAUGUUUUUCAUCGUUUUAAUACAUGUUCGUUUUGAAAUUUUGAACAUAUUGAUUUUAAUAUAUGAUGUCUGCUUAGUGUCUUUUUCUCUGCCUGUAAACAACUUCUACCAACUUUUCUUUGUUCCGAUCAUCAACUUCAGGGGUGGUUGUCUAGCUAGUACAUUGGGGAGGUCAUUAUGUGAUAUUCCUUGUAGUUUUUCUAAUAAUUUAUAAAAGAAAAAAAGCCACCAAUAAACAGCAAAUGUACACAAUAACGUUUUCUGUUUUUUUUUAAAUUUUUUUUUUUUAUGAGUGUUUUUGUAUUGUUUUUCGGCGGACAAGACUUUUUAACUCUAUAAAAAAAACUCAAGAAUUUGAGACGAAAUAAAACACGGAC